GACGAAAGAUGGAGGCGUGCUUAACACAUGCAAGUCGAACGGUAAGGCCUUUCGGGGUACACGAGUGGCGAACGGGUGAGUAACACGUGGAUGAUCUGCCCUGCACUUCGGGAUAAGCCCGGGAAACUGGGUCUAAUACCGGAUAGGACUGCGCGGUGCAUGCCGUGGGGUGGAAAGAUUUAUCGGUGCAGGAUGGGCCCGCGGCCUAUCAGCUUGUUGGUGGGGUAAUGGCCUACCAAGGCGACGACGGGUAGCCGGCCUGAGAGGGCGACCGGCCACACUGGGACUGAGACACGGCCCAGACUCCUACGGGAGGCAGCAGUGGGGAAUAUUGCACAAUGGGCGGAAGCCUGAUGCAGCGACGCCGCGUGAGGGAUGACGGCUUUCGGGUUGUAAACCUCUUUCAGCAGGGACGAAGCGUGAGUGACGGUACCUGCAGAAGAAGCACCGGCUAACUACGUG
rnacentral:rRNA from 1 species